UACAAAUUGAAGCCUCUUGGCUGCCGCCUUUGCCAAUUUUCUCCUCUUCUUUCAUUCAUGGAUUUUCUCUUGUCUCUCCUCUCACUUCUAUCUGCAUCAACACCUCCUUAAAUCCCCCAGAGCUUUGUGUAUUGGUUCUAAAGGCAAAGAGACUCAUUUGAAGCUCUUUGAAGUCAUAUUGGAGAAUUAAGCAAAAGAAACAGAAUCCCCUUCCUUGGUCUCAUCUUAUCUGUCUAUCUGAUAAAUUAUGAUUUUGACUAAGCUCAAAUAUUAUGGUGGGGAGUGCUACCUACUUUGAUCAUCUGAAUUGAUGUGCUUGCCUGGCUCCCUGAAUGCCACCUAAGAAGCUUGUCAAAAGAAUGGCAACCUUUUUACAUGGCGUGAGGGGAGCCACGCAGGCUGCUCAAUAUAUCAGACAUGCUAACACUCAUCAAAUUAUGAAUAUCAUAUCAUAUAUUCUUAUCUAUUCUUUUUUGUUUCCCUUUUCAUUUCUUUAUUUUUAUCUCACAUCAGAAGCUGAUAAUCUGCUUAUGCAGGUUUCACAAUAACAUUUAAACAUUCUUUUCUCUGUCCAUGCUUCAGUUUUGAUGAUGCUUAUUUCAGGGAUCAAUUAGUAUAAAUGUUUGGUAAACAUUGCAUUGCACCAUGUUUCAAAUGUUCAGGGUCAUAAAUAGGUGAAGCCUAUUGAUUUUACAAAUAAAACUUGCAAGUCCUAACUUGUAGAAUCAAAGCCAAGACAGUUCCAAGGAAGCAAAGGAGCCCCAGAUGAUAAAUGUGGAACUGUAGCACUCCAUGCCCAUGCAUUUCCCAUGUUCAUUCCCUUCCUUAUUGUAAAGAACUGCAGCAGAGUAGCCAAACACAAGGGAACCAAAUGGGAUGUUGGCCACCACCACAUUAUGGUUCACUGUCCCAAAUAGCUCCGUUGUUGUGGAAACAGAUAUGGAAGUGAUUGCUCCAGUGCACACUCCAAUCACUGCUGCAGUGCUUGUGUAAAGGGCAAUGUCUGUUUAGUUAAUAAGAAGAAUCCAUUGACAGUGGUUGACCUAACAGUGGUUGAUAUCAUUUGUUUGUUUGAUUUGGUUUGUCAUAUCUUUGUGUUGGUACCAUCAUCUGUUUGUGUCAACUGUCAUGGAAUUAAUUAGACAGAAUAAAAUUGACAAAAUGCUCAAGUCACUAUUAGAAUGCUAUUCUUGAAUCUCUGGUUCACUACUUCAAGACUCUAAGCUUGGUCUUUCCCAUGAUUUUCAGCUUAACUGUUAUGUGUUUAAUUGUACCUAUAUGUUAGGGUUGGAUGUUCAAGGCCAUA